UACGAGGGGGCGAGCGUUGUUCGGAAUUAUUGGGCGUAAAGGGUGCGUAGGCGGUUCCGCAAGUCCUGUGUGAAAUCUUCGGGCUUAACUCGAAGCCUGCACGGGAAACUGCGGGGCUUGAGUGUGGGAGAGGUGAGUGGAAUUCCCGGUGUAGCGGUGAAAUGCGUAGAUAUCGGGAGGAGCACCUGUGGCGAAAGCGGCUCACUGGACCAUAACUGACGCUGAUGCACGAAAGCUGGGGGAGCAAACAGG
rnacentral:rRNA from 1 species